rnacentral:tRNA from 1 species
CGGGAUGUAGCGCAGUCUGGUAGCGUAUCGGCAUGGGGUGCCGGGGGUCGCUGGUUCGAAUCCAGUCAUCCCGA